rnacentral:rRNA from 1 species
UGGGGAAUCUUGGACAAUGGGGGAAACCCUGAUCCAGCCAUGCCGCGUGAGUGAUGAAGGCCUUAGGGUUGUAAAGCUCUUUCGCACGCGACGAUGAUGACGGUAGCGUGAGAAGAAGCCCCGGCUAACUUCGUGCCAGCAGCCGCGGUAAUACGAAGGGGGCUAGCGUUGUUCGGAAUUACUGGGCGUAAAGCGCGCGUAGGCGGUCAUGUAAGUCAGGGGUGAAAUCCCAGAGCUUAACUCUGGAAUGGCCUUUGAGACUGCAUGGCUCGAGAGCGGGAGAGGUGAGUGGAAUUCCCAGUGUAGAGGUGAAAUUCGUAGAUAUUGGGAAGAACACCGGUGGCGAAGGCGGCUCACUGGCCCGUUUCUGACGCUGAGGCGCGAAAGCGUGGGGAGCAAACAGGAUUAGAUACCCCUGUAGUCC